AGGUCUCCUGAAGGAACGUUGAAGACGACGACGUUGAUAGGCCAGGUGUGUAAGCGCAGCGAUGCGUUGAGCUAACCGGUACUAAUGAACCGUGAGGCUUAACCUUACAACGCCGAAG
rnacentral:rRNA from 1 species